rnacentral:lncRNA from 1 species
AUUAAUGUUGCAAACCAGUUACCCAAACGUUCUAGUAGACAAAGAGAAAUUGAGAUCAACCUCUUAAUUUAUUCACAAGCUUCUCUGGAGUGAUCUGAGCAAGAAAUGGAAUGUUCUGGAAACUUUCACGAUCAGAUUCCCAGGAUGGCAGCCCUUGAUCUGACUCAGGUGUGUGGUCUGCUUUCUUGGGACCCAUCCUGUCUUCACAAGAGGAAAACCAAGGAGGCACGGAUGGUGGCUGAGUUACUGAUGGGUUCUUCUCAGGCAAGUGGAAAGAGGACCUUUCUUCAAAAUGUCAUGCUUGUUUCUGUCAGGUAGCCAUAUCUCCUUGUAAUGUCCCCAAGCUUUUUAAAGCAUUUAAUGGCCCUGCUCAGGGAAUGACUCCCAAGUGAAUUUCUCCAGGACCAUGCCAUCUCAGAAUAUACAGGAAUUACAUGAGAUAGGAUUCUUUUAUCUCAAUAUUUAUUAAUUCUUUCUGAUCCUCAGUCAUGCUUGUUGGCUUACUGUCUUGCUGAGUGUUAUGACAGAUCUUAAGGAAGGAUAUGAAAGUAUCUAAUUUUUAAUCUCAUGGUAUCUGUGUGUCACUGUGUAAAUAAUUCAUCUGUUAUUAGAUUUUACAGAGUGCUACAUUGUGUUCAGUGCUAACCACAGCUUAUAAAUAGAGAAGGGUAAAGCAAGAAGAGCCCACAGUAAAGUUGUGGUGAAAUAAGUUCAGUCAUGAGUCAGUGAUGCUGGUAAAUCAAUGUGACAAUGUGAUCAGGCAGCAUAUAUAGCUAGAGAGGAGAGGUCUGGGCCCAGGAGCUCUGUGGCCUUCUGGUCUACCCUCCUCAAUCCCUCGUGCAUCUUUCUGAGGACAUCAAAGGAGAUGGUGUUUAGCUGAAGCCAGCAUGUGUUUGAUGGUUUAGCACUUAGUGACCUUCGAGGAUGUGGCUGUGAACUUUACCCAGGAGGAGUGGACUUUGUUGGAUCAAACACAGAGAGAUCUCUACAGAGAUGUGAUGCUGGAGAACUACCAGAAUCUCAUGGCACUAGGUGAGGCUGGCAUUAUUUCUUCACUGAACCCGUUAUGAAAUGAAUGUUUCCCAACUACCUUUGCUGUCGAAUGGGAAUAAUGUGGUAAACAAGACAGACUGAGUCCCUGGCUCAUGGGCCUUACUGUCUAGAAGAUUCUAACCAAGAAAAUGAUCUUUAUUUCCUUUAGGGACUAAAAAUCUUAACAUUUUCAGUGUGCAUGAGGUCGGACAUGGUUUUUAGGUCUUAGAGAUCUCCAGUCAUUUGAGGGCACAGAGAGAGAAUGUGCUUGGAAUUUUGUUCCUUUUUAAAAAGUUUGAUUGCAUUUGCUUAAGGUUUUGCGUGAUUAUUUUGCCGUUUUUAAGUUAAACUUCACUGUCUUCAGGAACCCUGAAGGCUAAAGUGUUGGUUCCCAGUUCACGGACAUGUUUUUCAUGUCUUGCAAGUUCUUCUUCACGUAUUUUUCCCUGAAGCAGGGUCUGAAUCAUGCAAACCCCAUCUCAACUCUCCUUUGGAAGGAGCAGAAGAGCUGAGGAAAAGAGCAAGAA